AAGCUCCUUUGUUGUGUUAAGUGUUGGCAGAUAUCUGAACCCCGCCCUAGCGGUUCAGAAGCUUAAACCCCGAGCUUCUCCCUCCCCAUACGAAGUUCGGGGUUUUUUUUGCCUGGCG
rfam:Pseudomonas taeanensis MS-3 contig_01, whole genome shotgun sequence.